AAAAGGUGGCUAUACUACCGCUUUUGGAUGGGCCCGCGGCGCAUUAGCUAGUUGGUAGGGUAAAGGCUUACCAAGGCAAUGAUGCGUAGCCGAAUUGAGAGGUUGAUCGGCCACAUUGGGACUGAGACACGGCCCAAACUCCUACGGGAGGCAGCAGUAGGGAAUCUUCCACAAUGGGCGAAAGCCUGAUGGAGCAACGCCGCGUGGGUGAAGAAGGUCUUCGGAUCGUAAAACCCUGUUGUUAGAGAAGAAAGUGCGUGAGAGUAACUGUUCACGUUUCGACGGUAUCUAACCAGAAAGCCACGGCUAACUACGUGCCAGCAGCCGCGGUAAUACGUAGGUGGCAAGCGUUAUCCGGAUUUAUUGGGCGUAAAGGGAACGCAGGCGGUCUUUUAAGUCUGAUGUGAAAGCCUUCGGCUUAACCGGAGUAGUGCAUUGGAAACUGGGAGACUUGAGUGCAGAAGAGGAGAGUGGAACUCCAUGUGUAGCGGUGAAAUGCGUAGAUAUAUGGAAGAACACCAGUGGCGAAAGCGGCUCUCUGGUCUGUAACUGACGCUGAGGUUCGAAAGCGUGGGUAGCAAACAGGAUUAGAUACCCUGGUAGUCCACGCCGUAAACGAUGAAUGCUAAGUGUUGGAGGGUUUCCGCCCUUCAGUGCU
rnacentral:rRNA from 1 species